rnacentral:lncRNA from 1 species
AUGUACUUCAUCUGUCCUGAAAAUGUGAGGACAUCUUAUGGCAUUUUAGGAAAGACAUUAAGCCUUCUCAAAAGCAGAAUGGAACAACAAAAAAAAUCCAGCUGAAUGCCUAACACUGGAGGGGAGGAAGUAGUAUUAUGAGUAGGGACCGGGACACAGAAAGCAGAAUUACUGGUCAUCUAGGCAUUUUCAGCUAAAUCCUGGCAAAGUGGUUUCACCCCUUCUAUUCUGAGCCUUAGACAAUAACACAAAUAUCUCCAGAGCUGUCACUGUCAAAAGAGAAAAACAUAAAAUGAAGAGAAAAAAUCCCCCAACCCCCCAGCACUGACAAAAGCUGAACUGAUUUCCAGGAACAGAUCCUGUAAUUUCUGCUGUUAUUUGCAAUCACCUCCCUGUGGACUGAUGACCUGAAACUACAGCUUGGUUACUUUGCAGUGUCAUAUCAGAAGGACUUUCUGAGACACAAGUGAACACUCAUUUGUGUCCCAUUAAAGACUCCUUGACU